CAAUAGCGUAUAUUUAAGUUGUUGCAGUUAAAAAGCUCGUAGUUGGAUUUCGGAUGGGAUUUGCCGGUCCGUCGUUACGAUGUGCACUGGCCAGUCCUAUCUUGUUGUCGGGGACUAGCUCCUGGGCUUCACUGUCCGGGACUAGGAGCUGACGAGGUUACUUUGAGUAAAUUAGAGUGUUCAAAGCAAGCCUACGCUCUGAAUACAUUAGCAUGGAAUAACACGAUAGGACUCUGGCUUAUCUUGUUGGUCUGUGAGACCAGAGUAAUGAUUAAGAGGGACGGUCGGGGGCAUUCGUAUUUCAUUGUCAGAGGUGAAAUUCUUGGAUUUAUGAAAGACGAACUUCUGCGAAAGCAUUUGUCAAGGAUGUUUUCAUUAA
rnacentral:rRNA from 1 species